rnacentral:rRNA from 1 species
GCAGUCGACGGUACAGGAAGAAGCUUGCUUCUUUGCUGACGAGUGGCGGACGGGUGAGUAAUGUCUGGGAAACUGCCUGAUGGAGGGGGAUAACUACUGGAAACGGUAGCUAAUACCGCAUAACGUCGCAAGACCAAAGAGGGGGACCUUCGGGCCUCCUGCCAUCGGAUGUGCCCAGAUGGGAUUAGCUAGUAGGUGGGGUAACGGCUCACCUAGGCGACGAUCCCUAGCUGGUCUGAGAGGAUGACCAGCCACACUGGAACUGAGACACGGUCCAGACUCCUACGGGAGGCAGCAGUGGGGAAUAUUGCACAAUGGGCGCAAGCCUGAUGCAGCCAUGCCGCGUGUAUGAAGAAGGCCUUCGGGUUGUAAAGANCUUUCAGCGGGGAGGAAGGGAGUAAAGUUAAUACCUUUGCUCAUUGACGUUACCCGCAGAAGAAGCACCGGCUAACUCCGUGCCAGCAGCCGCGGUAAUACGGAGGGUGCAAGCGUUAAUCGGAAUUACUGGGCGUAAAGCGCACGCAGGCGGUUUGUUAAGUCAGAUGUGAAAUCCCCGGGCUCGACCUGGGAACUGCAUGUGAUACUGGCAAGCUUGAGUCUCGUAGAGGGGGGUAGAAUUCCAGGUGUAGCGGUGAAAUGCGUAGAGAUCUGGAGGAAUACCGGUGGCGA